rnacentral:rRNA from 1 species
GACGAACGCUGGCGGCGUGCUUAACACAUGCAAGUCGAACGGAAAGGCCUCUUUCGGGGGGUACUCGAGUGGCGAACGGGUGAGUAACACGUGAGUAACCUGCCCUUGACUUUGGGAUAACUUCAGGAAACUGGGGCUAAUACCGGAUAGGAGCUCCUGCUGCAUGGUGGGGGUUGGAAAGUUUCGGCGGUUGGGGAUGGACUCGCGGCUUAUCAGCUUGUUGGUGGGGUAGUGGCUUACCAAGGCUUUGACGGGUAGCCGGCCUGAGAGGGUGACCGGCCACAUUGGGACUGAGAUACGGCCCAGACUCCUACGGGAGGCAGCAGUGGGGAAUAUUGCACAAUGGGUGGAAGCCUGAUGCAGCAACGCCGUGUGCGGGAUGACGGCCUUCGGGUUGUAAACCGCUUUUGCUCAUGACGAAGCUUUGUGUGACGGUAGUGGGUAAAGAAGCACCGGCUAACUACGUG